rnacentral:rRNA from 1 species
UACGUAGGUGGCAAGCGUUGUCCGGAUUUAUUGGGCGUAAAGCGAGCGCAGGCGGUUAAUUAAGUCAGAUGUGAAAGCCCCGAGCUUAACUUGGGAAUUGCAUUUGAAACUGGUUGGCUAGAGUCUUGUAGAGGGGGGUAGAAUUCCAUGUGUAGCGGUGAAAUGCGCAGAUAUUAGGAGGAAUACCGGUGGCGAAGGCGACUUUCUGGCCAUUAUCUGACGCUGAGGUACGAAAGCGUGGGUAGCAAACAGG